GUGCUCGUUUCGGCAGCACAUAUACUAAAAUUGGAAUGAUACAGAGAACAUUAGCAUGGCCCCUGCACAAGGAUGACACGCAAAUUCGUAAAGCGUUCCAUAUUUUU
rnacentral:snRNA from 1 species